UACGGAGGAUCCUAGUGUUAUCCGGAUUUAUUGGGUUUAAAGGGAGCGUAGGCGGGAGGUCAAGUCAGCUGUGAAAUGUAUCUGCUUAACGGGUACACUGCAGUUGAAACUGGUUUUCUUGAGUGCGUAAGAGGCAGGCGGAAUUCGUUGUGUAGCGGUGAAAUGCUUAGAUAUCACGAGGAACUCCGAUUGCGCAGGCAGCUUACUAAACCAUAACCGACGCUCAGGCACGAAGGCGUGGGGAUCAAACAGGAUUAGAUACCCCUGUA
rnacentral:rRNA from 1 species